rnacentral:misc_RNA from 1 species
AACGCAUAUUGCGCUCGAGGCUUCGGCCAAGAGCAUGUCUGCCUCAGCGUCGGGUUAAUAUCACAUCCCAUUACCCUUGUGGUAAUAUUCGUGAUGUGGAUCUGGUUGUUCCAGCGUGGUGGUCAAGUCAGGAAUGACUUGGCCGUUCAUGCCUGCUGGAUCAGCUGAAGUGCAGAGGCUAACCAAGGACCCGUUAUGGGCCGCAACUGGGUAGGCAUUUCCAAUGCUAAAGCUUAGUUGUUGGUCUGGGACCCUGUGUUCGGCCCUCAAACAGGAACAAACCCUUAUUUUCUCGACCUGAGCUCAGGCAAGAACACCCGCUGAACUUAA